rnacentral:lncRNA from 1 species
GCCGCGGGGGCCAUUGAUACAGAGGCUUGCUGCGCUUGGUGUGCGCGGCCCGGCCGGGCCUCUGGAAACGCCCAUGAGAAAUGAGCUCAUGCUGGAUGCGCGCGCUCCUUGGGCGCAACUGCCCAGCGCAAAACGGGCCCCGAAAGCAGGGUCUCACUUUGUCCUCCAGGCUGGAGUGCUGCGGCCUCAACCUCCCAGGUUCAAGGGAUCCUGCUGCCUCAGCCCCCCAAGUAGCUAGGACUACAAGGGUGCACCACCACACCCAGCUAAUUUUUGUAUUUUUUGUAUAAAUGGGGUUUCGCCAUGUUGCCCAGACUGGUCUCAAACUCCUGGGCUCAAAAUCUGCGUGCCAUGGCUUCUCAAAACGCUAGGAUUACUGGCGUGAGUCACCAUGCCUGGCCUAUAAUUUGUUAAUAUGGUUGUUACUACAAAGUUUAAAAUAAAUUGCCCAUGCAUUCCUAUUUAUAAUAGGUGAGUGGAGGACACUUCAAUCUAAAGUGAUCUUAAAGGAGGAGUAGUAGGAUUUGAAGAUGAAGAAAGAAGAG